AUAUUUACCUGGAUGGAGUCUAUGAUUGAUCAAAAAGGGUCAUGGCUUAGUUUAAUAAUUUCCAUUGCACUUUGGAGAGAUAUCAAGCUAACGUCUCCCCAAGUGGGAGAGUGUACGUCAUUAUUUAUUACUUUGGGGGUACGCGUUCGCGCGGCCCUUA
rnacentral:snRNA from 1 species